rnacentral:rRNA from 1 species
UACAGGGGGGGCAAGCGUUGCUCGGAAUCACUGGGCGUAAAGGGUGCGUAGGCGGGUCUUUAAGUCAGGGGUGAAAUCCUGGAGCUCAACUCCAGAACUGCCUUUGAUACUGAAGAUCUUGAGUUCGGGAGAGGUGAGUGGAACUGCGAGUGUAGAGGUGAAAUUCGUAGAUAUUCGCAAGAACACCAGUGGCGAAGGCGGCUCACUGGCCCGAUACUGACGCUGAUGCACGAAAGCGUGGGGAGCAAACAGG